rnacentral:rRNA from 1 species
AGCAGUCGCCACGGUAAGACAGAGGAUGCAAGCGUUAUUCGGAUUGAUUGGGUGCAAAGGGUGUGCAGACGGCUUAUUAAGUCACUUGUUAUAUUCUUCGGCCUAACUGAAGGUCUGCAAGUGAUACUGAUGAGCUAGAGGGUGGAAGAGAGAAGUGGAAUUCUCGGAGUAGCGGUAAAAUGCGUAGAUCUCGAGAGGAACACCAAUGGCGAAGGCAGCUUCUUGGUCCAUUCCUGACGUUCAUACACGAAAGCGUGGGGAGCAAACAGGAUUAGAGACCCGCGUAGUCCCUGUCUCUUAUAC